ACACAUACUUUUCUCACACAUACUUUUCUGGUGACCUGCAAUAUUUUUGUUUGAAAAGGAACUCCAGCGGGUGAACUAUUGCUUCAAUGUUUUCCCCCUCACCCACAGUAGGCUCUCACCGAAUCUGUAGGAUCGGUUUUCAACUCCAUAACGAUUGCGUAUCGACACGUGUGACAUGCGGAAUCCGUACACGUGUGUAGACCAAACACGAGAACGUACUAAAUCUGUGAUUCUAUUCAAGAUCUGAACAAUCACGUGAAUCACCUUUUGCACUUUAUCUCUCUAGACUCUCUCUCUAGCUCCAAAGCUCUCCAAACUCAAAAUGUGGCAAAAGUUCCUAAAGCUAACCCUAAGGGUUCUAUUUAUAGGCCAAGGGGCUUAAUGAGAUUUCUCAUUAAUUACAUAAAUGCCACCUUGCCUUUUCCCUAAAUAUUACAACAUAAAUUCUUAUUUUCUUCA